rnacentral:rRNA from 1 species
CAGUCGCCGCGGUAAAACGAAGGGUGCAAGCGUUAAUCGGAAUUACUGGGCGUAAAGCGUGCGUAGGCGGUGAGUUAAGUCUGCUGUGAAAUCCCCGGGCUCAACCUGGGAAUGGCAGUGGAUACUGGCUCGCUAGAGUGUGUCAGAGGAUGGUGGAAUUCCCGGUGUAGCGGUGAAAUGCGUAGAGAUCGGGAGGAACAUCAGUGGCGAAGGCGGCCAUCUGGGACAACACUGACGCUGAGGCACGAAAGCGUGGGGAGCAAACAGGAUUAGAUACCCGGGUAGUCCCUGUCUCUUAUCC